rnacentral:piRNA from 1 species
AACACAGAGAAAAAAGUCAUCUUCAUGGUCC